ACAGGGUGACAGCCCCGUACACAAAAAUGCACAUAUUGUGAGCUUGAUGAGUAGGGCGGGACACGUGGUAUCCUGUCUGAAUAUGGGGGGACCAUCCUCCAAGGCUAAAUACUCCUGACUGACCGAUAGUGAACCAGUACCGUGAGGGAAAGGCGAAAAGAACCCCGGCGAGGGGAGUGAAAAAGAACCUGAAACCGUGUACGUACAAGCAGUGGGAGCACGCUUAGGCGUGUGACUGCGUACCUUUUGUAUAAUGGGUCAGCGACUUAUAUUCUGUAGCAAGGUUAACCGAAUAGGGGAGCCGAAGGGAAACCGAGUCUUAACUGGGCGUUAAGUUGCAGGGUAUAGACCCGAAACCCGGUGAUCUAGCCAUGGGCAGGUUGAAGGUUGGGUAACACUAACUGGAGGACCGAACCGACUAAUGUUGAAAAAUUAGCGGAUGACUUGUGGCUGGGGGUGAAAGGCCAAUCAAACCGGGAGAUAGCUGGUUCUCCCCGAAAGCUAUUUAGGUAGCGCCUCGUGAAUUCAUCUCCGGGGGUAGAGCACUGUUUCGGCAAGGGGGUCAUCCCGACUUACCAACCCGAUGCAAACUGCGAAUACCGGAGAAUGUUAUCACGGGAGACACACGGCGGGUGCUAACGUCCGUCGUGAAGAGGGAAACAACCCAGACCGCCAGCUAAGGUCCCAAAGUCAUGGUUAAGUGGGAAACGAUGUGGGAAGGCCCAGACAGCCAGGAUGUUGGCUUAGAAGCAGCCAUCAUUUAAAGAAAGCGUAAUAGCUCACUGGUCGAGUCGGCCUGCGCGGAAGAUGUAACGGGGCUAAACCAU
rnacentral:rRNA from 1 species